rnacentral:rRNA from 1 species
UACGUAGGGGGCAAGCGUUGUUCGGAAUUACUGGGCGUAAAGGGCUCGUAGGCGGCCAACUAAGUCAGACGUGAAAUCCCUCGGCUUAACCGGGGAACUGCGUCUGAUACUGGUUGGCUUGAAUCCGGGAGAGGGAUGUGGAAUUCCAGGUGUAGCGGUGAAAUGCGCAGAUAUCAGGAGGAACACCGGUGGCGAAGGCGGUUCUCUGGGCAUUACCUGACGCUGAGGAGCGAAAGUGUGGGGAGCGAACAGG